rnacentral:piRNA from 1 species
UGAACCUGACAUUUGAUGCCAUCUCCACCGA